GAAUCCGGGAGGACCAUCUCCCAAGGCUAAAUACUCCCUAGUGACCGAUAGUGAACCAGUACCGUGAGGGAAAGGUGAAAAGCACCCCGGAAGGGGAGUGAAACAGUUCCUGAAACCGUGUGCCUACAAGUAGUUAGAGCCCGUUAAUGGGUGAUAGCGUGCCUUUUGUAGAAUGAACCGGCGAGUUACGAUUUGUUGCAAGGUUAAGCGGAAAAAGCGGAGCCGUAGCGAAAGCGAGUCUGAAUAGGGCGCAUAAGUAACAGGUCGUAGACCCGAAACCAGGUGAUCUACCCAUGUCCAGGAUGAAGGUAAGGUAAUACUUACUGGAGGUCCGAACCCACGCACGUUGAAAAGUGCGGGGAUGAGGUGUGGGUAGCGGAGAAAUUCCAAUCGAACUUGGAGAUAGCUGGUUCUCUCCGAAAUAGCUUUAGGGCUAGCCUCGAGGUAAAGAGUCAUGGAGGUAGAGCACUGUUUGGACUAGGGGCCCUUCUCGGGUUACCGAAUUCAGAUAAACUCC
rnacentral:rRNA from 1 species